AUUGAACGCUGGCGGCAGGCCUAACACAUGCAAGUCGGGCGGUAGCACAGAGAGCUUGCUCUCGGGUGACGAGCGGCGGACGGGUGAGUAAUGUCUGGGAAACUGCCUGAUGGAGGGGGAUAACUACUGGAAACGGUAGCUAAUACCGCAUAACGUCGCAAGACCAAAGUGGGGGACCUUCGGGCCUCAUGCCAUCAGAUGUGCCCAGAUGGGAUUAGCUAGUAGGUGGGGUAAUGGCUCACCUAGGCGACGAUCCCUAGCUGGUCUGAGAGGAUGACCAGCCACACUGGAACUGAGACACGGUCCAGACUCCUACGGGAGGCAGCAGUGGGGAAUAUUGCACAAUGGGCGCAAGCCUGAUGCAGCCAUGCCGCGUGUGUGAAGAAGGCCUUCGGGUUGUAAAGCACUUUCAGCGGGGAGGAAGGCGAUAAGGUUAAUAACCUCAUCGAUUGACGUUACCCGCAGAAGAAGCACCGGCUAACUCCGUGCCAGCAGCCGCGGUAGUACGGAGGGUGCAAGCGUUAAUCGGAAUUACUGGGCGUAAAGCGCACGCAGGCGGUCUGUCAAGUCGGAUGUGAAAUCCCCGGGCUCAACCUGGGAACUGCAUUCGAAACUGGCAGGCUAGAGUCUUGUAGAGGGGGGUAGAAUUCCAGGUGUAGCGGUGAAAUGCGUAGAGAUCUGGAGGAAUACCGGUGGCGAAGGCGGCCCCCUGGACAAAGACUGACGCUCAGGUGCGAAAGCGUGGGGAGCAAACAGGAUUAGAUACCCUGGUAGUCCACGCCGUAAACGAUGUCGAUUUGGAGGUUGUGCCCUUGAGGCGUGGCUUCCGGAGCUAACGCGUUAAAUCGACCGCCUGGGGAGUACGGCCGCAAGGUUAAAACUCAAAUGAAUUGACGGGGGCCCGCACAAGCGGUGGAGCAUGUGGUUUAAUUCGAUGCAACGCGAAGAACCUUACCUGGUCUUGACAUCCACAGAACUUUCCAGAGAUGGAUUGGUGCCUUCGGGAACUGUGAGACAGGUGCUGCAUGGCUGUCGUCAGCUCGUGUUGUGAAAUGUUGGGUUAAGUCCCGCAACGAGCGCAACCCUUAUCCUUUGUUGCCAGCGGUCCGGCCGGGAACUCAAAGGAGACUGCCAGUGAUAAACUGGAGGAAGGUGGGGAUGACGUCAAGUCAUCAUGGCCCUUACGACCAGGGCUACACACGUGCUACAAUGGCAUAUACAAAGAGAAGCGACCUCGCGAGAGCAAGCGGACCUCAUAAAGUAUGUCGUAGUCCGGAUUGGAGUCUGCAACUCGACUCCAUGAAGUCGGAAUCGCUAGUAAUCGUAGAUCAGAAUGCUACGGUGAAUACGUUCCCGGGCCU
rnacentral:rRNA from 1 species